rnacentral:tRNA from 1 species
GUCGGCGUCGCCUACCGGCAGGGCGGCGGGUUGCGGACCGCGCGGGCGCGCCGCGAGGUGAUCCUCGCCGCCGGCGCCA